rnacentral:lncRNA from 1 species
GUGGAACACGACCGAUAAGAAGAGUACCUGGAGAAGUGGAGAGACGAGAUGGCGAGAGGAGGAAGACCGACGACUGCUGGAAGUAGACGACGACGAGCGGAGACGGAACGGAAAGGAUUGGUAGCUACUGGGUACUGGGCUACUGGCUGGCGGCUGCUGCUUUAAGGGUUAGGGUUUCAGACUUUCAGUUCUCUGUUCUCAGUCUCAACUUUCUGUCUUUCUCUAGAAUGAGGAAUAGGUAAGGUAAUUAGGAAUUAGAAUAUUAGAUAAUUAGUUUUGUGGUGGGGUGGACUGGAGACAGAGCACACA